rnacentral:rRNA from 1 species
AGGCAAUAGAUACCCAGGUAGUCCACGCUGUAAACGAUGGGUACUAGAUUUGGUGGGUCUUGACCCCCGCCGAAAUCGGCGCUAAACGCACUAAGUACCCCGCCUGGGAAGUACGGUCGCAAGACUAAAACUCAAAGGAAUUGACGGGGGCCCGCACAAGCGGUGGAUCAUGUGGUUUAAUUCGAAAGCAACGCGAAGAACCUUACCUGGAUUUGACAUCCUCUGACAACCCUAGAGAUAGGGCUUUCGUAGCAAUACGACAGAGAGACAGGUGCUGCAUGGCUGUCGUCAGCUCGUGUGGUGACAUGUUGGGUUAAGUCCCGCAACGAGCGCAACCCUUGUCCUUAGUUGCCAGCAUUAAGUUGGGCUCUCUAAGGAGACUGCCGUGGUUAACACGGAGGAAGGU